GAGCUUGCUCUGUGGGAUCAGUGGCGAACGGGUGAGUAACACGUGAGCAACCUGCCCCUGACUCUGGGAUAAGCGCUGGAAACGGCGUCUAAUACUGGAUAUGUGACGUGACCGCAUGGUCUGCGUCUGGAAAGAAUUUCGGUUGGGGAUGGGCUCGCGGCCUAUCAGCUUGUUGGUGAGGUAAUGGCUCACCAAGGCGUCGACGGGUAGCCGGCCUGAGAGGGUGACCGGCCACACUGGGACUGAGACACGGCCCAGACUCCUACGGGAGGCAGCAGUGGGGAAUAUUGCACAAUGGGCGCAAGCCUGAUGCAGCAACGCCGCGUGAGGGACGACGGCCUUCGGGUUGUAAACCUCUUUUAGCAGGGAAGAAGCGAAAGUGACGGUACCUGCAGAAAAAGCGCCGGCUAACUACGUGCCAGCAGCCGCGGUAAUACGUAGGGCGCAAGCGUUAUCCGGAAUUAUUGGGCGUAAAGAGCUCGUAGGCGGUUUGUCGCGUCUGCUGUGAAAUCCGGAGGCUCAACCUCCGGCCUGCAGUGGGUACGGGCAGACUAGAGUGCGGUAGGGGAGAUUGGAAUUCCUGGUGUAGCGGUGGAAUGCGCAGAUAUCAGGAGGAACACCGAUGGCGAAGGCAGAUCUCUGGGCCGUAACUGACGCUGAGGAGCGAAAGGGUGGGGAGCAAACAGGCUUAGAUACCCUGGUAGUCCACCCCGUAAACGUUGGGAACUAGUUGUGGGGUCCAUUCCACGGAUUCCGUGACGCAGCUAACGCAUUAAGUUCCCCGCCUGGGGAGUACGGCCGCAAGGCUAAAACUCAAAGGAAUUGACGGGGACCCGCACAAGCGGCGGAGCAUGCGGAUUAAUUCGAUGCAACGCGAAGAACCUUACCAAGGCUUGACAUAUACGAGAACGGGCCAGAAAUGGUCAACUCUUUGGACACUCGUAAACAGGUGGUGCAUGGUUGUCGUCAGCUCGUGUCGUGAGAUGUUGGGUUAAGUCCCGCAACGAGCGC
rnacentral:rRNA from 1 species